rnacentral:rRNA from 1 species
AUUGAACGCCGGCGGCAGGCCUAACACAUGCAAGUCGAGCGGCAGCGGGAAAGUAGCUUGCUACUUUUGCCGGCGAGCGGCGGACGGGUGAGUAAUGCCUGGGGAUCUGCCCAGUCGCGGGGGAUAACUACUGGAAACGGUAGCUAAUACCUCAUACGCGCUACGGGGGAAAGCAGGGGACCUUCGGGCCAUGGGCGGUUGGAUGAACCCAGGUGGGAUUAGCUAUAUGGUGAGGUAAUGGCUCACCGAGGCGACGAUCCCUAGCUGGUCUGAGAGGAUGAUCAGCCAACCUGGAACUGAGACACGGUCCAGACUCCUACGGGAGGCAGCAGUGGGGAAUAUGGCACAAUGGGGGAAACCCUGAUGCAGCCAUGCCGCGUGUGUGAAGAAGGCCUUCGGGUUGUAAAGCACUUUCAGCGAGGAGGAAAGGUUGGUAGCUAAUAACUGCCAGCUGUGACGUUACUCGCAGAAGAAGCACCGGCUAACUCCGUGCCAGCCGCCGCUGUAAAAC